UGCACAUUUCCUUCAUUUCCUGUGUUACUUUCAUUUACAUGAUCUUACAUCUUGUAUAUAUGCUUUACAUCAACUAGAACAAACAAGUUUAGAAUGCCAUAAAAAUGGUACUAGAAUGUCUGUCGUGACAUUUCUUGGCAUAGCUUAUCAGAUGAUAGGUGAGACCAGCUUAGCAAGACAACAGUUCUACUUAGCUGACCAAAUUAGACA
rnacentral:lncRNA from 1 species